CUCUCGGCAACGGAUAUCUCGGCUCUCGCAUCGAUGAAGAACGUAGCGAAAUGCGAUACUUGGUGUGAAUUGCAGAAUCCCGUGAAUCAUCGAGUCUUUGAACGCAAGUUGCGCCCGACGCCAUUCGGCCAAGGGCACGUCUGCCUGGGUGUCACGCACCGUUGCC
rnacentral:rRNA from 1 species